UGAGAAAACAUAUCUCAAGUAGUGUAACAGAAGCAAAGAUGUUUGGAACACUUAGCGGAGAAUUAGAGGUGAAUGCACCAGCGAACGCGGUGUGGGAAGUGUAUGGUUCUCUUCAGCUAGGUUCCGUCGUCGAAAAAGGCUUCACAGAUGUCAUUGAAAGAAUUGAGGUUGUAGAGGGUGAUGGUUCUGUUGGUACCGUUCUUAAUCUCGUUUUCAAACCAGGUGUGGUUCCAUUUCCGUCCUACAAGGAGAAGUUCAUCACGGUUGACAACGCGAAAAGGGUGAAGGAAACUUUAGUUGUAGAAGGAGGCUAUCUUGAAAUGGGAUUUGAUCGCUACUUUGUUCGCCUGGAGAUUAUUGAGAAAGACGAAAAAAGCUGCAUAACAAGAGCCACGGUUGAGUAUGAACUCAAUGAAGAGUCUGCUGCCAAUGCUUCUCUGGCUUCCAUCGACGCUCUCAUGGCUAUCAUGAACAUUGCCAACACUCACAUUCUCGCCACAACCAACUGAAUGCUUGUUGCAUUGUAUUGUAACUUUCUUCACUUCUCUGCAAGAUGAUUAGUAUCAAAUUGUUUCAUGUUUCAAGCUUUCUGUCGACCUUGCUUCUGUCGAGGCGUUUGGCUCAUAAUUAAUAAGUCCGAAUAUCACUGCCGUUUUGUGAUACCAGACAGUAAACAUAAACAAAUUACUCCAAAACAUAAUUAACUACUCUAACACGAGCCUGAUUCUCGUGGCAGUGAAAACAAAUAAGUAGAUUGCAAUGAUUUAUUGUCGUGUAUGAAAAAAGAAUCCUACAACCAGCUUGCCGUCUGCACCUUCCUUAACAGUAACAUAAACGAAUCUCGUGUAGGCCAUUUCCUGAUAUUCCAAGCAAUCGCUCCUUGUCCUCCGUUAUUUACAAUGUCUCGUGUUUCCCCAUAUAAAUUAGUGUGCGUAGGCUUAAACAUAUCGACACUCUGCAUCUACAGAGUAGUAAACACAUAUCAAGUACUGUAGGUCUGUAACAGAAGCAAGGAUGUUCGGAACACUAAGCGGUGAAUUGGAGGUGAAUGCACCAGCAAGCGCGCUAUGGGAAGUGUACGGUUCUCUUCAGCUAGCUGCUAUUGUUGAGAAAGGCUUCACUGAUGUUCUUGAAAAGAUCGAGGUCGUGGAGGGCGAUGGCUCCGUUGGCACCGUUCUUGACAUCGUCUAUCGACCAGGUGUGGCUCCAUUUCCGUCCUACAAGGAAAAAUUCAUCACCAUUGACAACGAGAAACGGAUAAAAGAGACACUAGCAGUAGAAGGAGGGUAUCUGGAAAUGGGAUUCGACCGGUUCUUUGUUCGGCUGGAGAUCAUCGAGAAAGACGAGAAAAGCAGCAUCACAAGAGCCACAAUUGAGUAUGAACUCAAGGAAGAGUCUGCUGCAAAUGUUUCAAUGGUUUCAAUCGAUGCUCUGAUGGGUAUCAUGAGCAUUGCUAACGCUCACAUUCUUGCCAAAACCAACUAAAUGGGGAUCCUUGCAUUUUGUUGUAACUUUCUUAGCUGGUCUGAAAGAUGAUCAGUAUCAAAAUUUCUCAUGUUUCAAGCUUCUGUCAAGCUAGCUCUUAUCUUUCAGAAAAGAAAAUAAAAAUGCUACUGUCAAAGAGUUUUAAUUUCA